GCGCUCGGUGGACUGUGGCGGACCGUCCGCAUCUGACUACGGAUCAGAAGGUUGGGGGUUCGAAUCCAUUCGGGCGCAC
rnacentral:tRNA from 1 species